rnacentral:rRNA from 1 species
CGUGUAGGCGGUUGGUCAAGCCGGGUGUGAAAGCCUGGGGCUCAGCCCCAGAAGUGCAUCCGAAACUAGCCAGCUAGAGCGCGAUAGAGGAGGGUGGAAUUCCUGGUGUAGCGGUGAAAUGCGUAGAUAUCAGGAGGAACACCGGCGGCGAAGGCGGCCCUCUGGAUCGUUGCUGACGCUGAGACGCGAAAGCGUGGGGGAGCAAACAGGAUUAGAUACCCUGGUAGUCCACGCCUUAAACGAUGGGUACUAGGUGUUCGGGGUGUUGACCCCCUGAGUGCCGCAGUUAACGCAUUAAGUACCCCGCCUGGGGACUACGGCCGCAAGGUUAAA